rnacentral:misc_RNA from 1 species
AACGGUCUAUACCUGCGGUACCUGCGGAGGGAUCAUUACCGAGUUCUCGCCCCUCGCGGGGUAGACCUCCCACCCACUGUGAUCACUACCGUUGUUGCUUUGGCGGGCCGCUGGGCCCAGCCCACCGCCGGCUCCGGUUGGCGCGUGCCCGCCAGAGGCCCUACAAACGCUGGAUAUCAGUGCCGUCUGAGUACACAUGUUAAUCGUUAAAACUUUCAACAAUGGAUCUCUAGAUCGGAA